rnacentral:rRNA from 1 species
GAUGAACGCUGGCGGCGUGCCUAAUACAUGCAAGUCGAGCGAACAGACGAGGAGCUUGCUCCUCUGACGUUAGCGGCGGACGGGUGAGUAACACGUGGAUAACCUACCUAUAAGACUGGGAUAACUUCGGGAAACCGGAGCUAAUACCGGAUAAUAUAUUGAACCGCAUGGUUCAAUAGUGAAAUACGGUUUUGCUGUCACUUAUAGAUGGAUCCGCGCCGCAUUAGCUAGUUGGUAAGGUAACGGCUUACCAAUGCAACGAUGCGUAGCCGACCUGAGAGGGUGAUCGGCCACACUGGACCUGCGACACGGUCCAGACUCCUACGGGAGGCAGCAGUAGGGAAUCUUCCGCAAUGGGCGAAAGCCUGACGGAGCAACGCCGCGUGAGUGAUGAAGGUCUUCGGAUCGUAAAACUCUGUUAUUAGGGAAGAACAAAUGUGUAAGUAAAUAUGCACGUCUUGACGGUACCUAAUCAGAAAGCCACGGCUAACUACGUG